AGCAGCCGCGGUAAUUCCAGCUCCAAUAGCGUAUAUUAAAGUUGCUGCAGUUAAAAAGCUCGUAGUUGAAUUUCGGGACUAAUAUGUCGGUCGUGCCUCGGUACGUACUGGUAUUUUUGGUUUCUCCCUUCUGACGAACCUUGAUGUCAUUAAUUUGGUGUCUUGGGGAAUCAGGACUGUUACUUUGAAAAAAUUAGAGUGUUUAAAGCAGGCUCACGCUUGAAUACAUUAGCAUGGAAUAAUGAAAUAGGACGUUUGAUUCUAUUUUGUUGGUUUCUAGGAUUGACGUAAUGAUUAAUAGGGAUAGUUGGGGGCAUUAGUAUUCAAUUGUCAGAGGUGAAAUUCUUGGAUUUAUUGAAGACUAACUACUGCGAAAGCAUUUGCCAAGGAUGUUUUCAUUAAUCAAGAACGAAAGUUAGGGGAUCGAAGACGAUCAGAUACCGUCGUAGUCUUAACCAUAAACUAUGCCGACUAGGGAUCGGAUGAUGUUAAUUUUUUAAUGACUCAUUCGGCGCCUUACG
rnacentral:rRNA from 1 species